GAUGAACGCUAGCGGGAGGCUUAAUACAUGCAAGUCGUACGGUAACCUUUCUUCGGGAAGGCUAGAGUGGCGUACGGGUGAGUAACACGUAUGUAAUCUGCCCCUAUCUGGGAGAUAGCC
rnacentral:rRNA from 1 species